CUCUGAUUGGCUACUUAGCAGGGGCGCACGCACAGAGCCUCUGUCUCGCGUCACACAAUCAGUACCUACUUAGGUAUAGGUAUAGGGAGUGCCCUCUCCCACUUCAACGCCUCUGCCACGUGCUGACAAACCCUGUGUCCUUGGAAACCUGUAAGGCAAGCUUCCUGGAGGAGGUGUCCUAAGGCGGGUGGGCACACGACUGGUACUGGAACCUCUCAAGACUUCCCAUCACCAAGCCUUCAGCGAUGGGGCCCGCCUUCAUCUUUACCCAGAUGUCACACAAACAGAAAUAACAGACAGCCCUCACCUGAGCCUCUUUCUCCGGGGUUCCUAGUGACAAGAUUUUCCAGACUGGGGCUGGGCAUGAGUCCCAGGAUUCCCUUCUGCUGGUCUUUUCUCUGGGUCUGCCUUGGGGAAGGUUGUAGAAGGCAAGUCCAGAAGGAUGCCUGGCAGGAGCGAUGCACACCUUCAAUCCCAGCACUUGGGAGGCAGAGUAGACAUAAGUUCGAGGCCAGCCUGCCCUACAGAGCAAAUUCCAGGUAGCCAGGGCAACACAGUGAGAGCCUGUCUCAAAACGCAAGCCACAAACCACAUGCCACUUCUUUCCCCUGAGGUCCUAAUGGGUGACAUUUCUAUUGAGCCUCCAGGGCCUAAGCUGGGGGGUUGCCUCUGCUCCACAGGGCACCCAGGGAAGACCAAGACCCUAGGAUUGUGCUCACAAUCACAUCCAAAUGCAGAAGGAGAAUGCGAACCCAGGGUCCCAGCCUACCACCUCCUAGCUGCCUCUUGACACAUUGUAUGACCUCCCCAGAGUCUAUCCAGUCUCUGCUCUAUUGAUCCAACUCUGAAUUUCAAACAGAUUAGGAAAUAGUUGGUAAACUCCACAGGUCUGACUAAGAGAGAGGAGUCGGGCUUUCAAGAACCCACACCUGUUCAGAGGCUGUGGCGUCUGUGGGACAGAUGUUGGACUUCCAUUCUUGCCCCAUGAUGCCCACAGUCGCUUGUUCAGAGCACAGUCAGUAGAAGCCAAUGCUCUCCAUUUUACAUGGGCACACCACGCACUUCCCUGUCAGAGUUUAGGAUGAGGGACAAAGGUCCCAUGUGAGUUUCCCAACACAAAGGAAAUUUGAAAACCGGGCUAUUUGGAUAGCUGAGGGCCAAAGAUCGGUUGAUUCUCAGGGUCAGAGAUAGUUUAACUCCUUUUCAUAGCCCACCCCCACCCCCAAAGGCAGCCGAGAAAUGGAUCCCAUGGGACGGAAGCAUCUGGACCAGCUUACCUAGCAAGCUGCUAUCCCAGCCCCAACUCCAGCGCCUGAGAGUUGGUGCAGCAGCCAGGAGUAUUCUGGCAACGGUUCUUAGUCCAGCACAAAGCCCUGCUGGCUAGCACCUGGCUGAGAGCCAAGGCCUGGAACCCAGAAUCCUAUUCUACAUCCUGGGUGCUGGGAAAGACAAGCACGCGCCCUUGCAGACUCUCUAUUUAUAUUUUUAAUUAUAAUAUAUGC
ensembl:lncRNA